GACGAACGCUGGCGGCGUGCUUAACACAUGCAAGUCGAACGGAAAGGCCCUGCUUUUGUGGGGUGCUCGAGUGGCGAACGGGUGAGUAACACGUGAGUAACCUGCCCUUGACUUUGGGAUAACUUCAGGAAACUGGGGCUAAUACCGGAUAGGAGCUCCUGCUGCAUGGUGGGGGUUGGAAAGUUUCGGCGGUUGGGGAUGGACUCGCGGCUUAUCAGCUUGUUGGUGGGGUAGUGGCUUACCAAGGCUUUGACGGGUAGCCGGCCUGAGAGGGUGACCGGCCACAUUGGGACUGAGAUACGGCCCAGACUCCUACAGGAGGCAGCAGUGGAGAAUAUUACACAAUGGGCGGAAGCCUGAUGCAGCAGCGCCGCGUGCGGGAUGACGGCCUUCGGGUUGUAAACCGCUUUCGCCUGUGACGAAGCGUGAGUGACGGUAAUGGGUAAAGAAGCACCGGCUAACUACGUG
rnacentral:rRNA from 1 species